rnacentral:sRNA from 1 species
CCGUAGGUGAACCUGCGGAAGGAUCAUUGUCGUAUCCUGUAAAAGCAGACCGUGAACAUGUUUAACCACAUUGGGAAUGUGGCGCCGGGAAUCUCUCGUCGCAUCCCUUCCCUGUACGCGCUCACCAUGGUUGGCGUUGUGCGGGCUAACAAACCCCGGCGCGGAAUGCGCCAAGGACUACUCAUGAAUUAUCCACUUCCCUGGCCACAUUUGCGGUGAGUUGGGGGAGAGGAUGAAUCUCCAAUGUCAAAACGACUCUCGACAACGGAUAUCUCGGCUCUCGCAUCGAUGAAGAACGUAGCGAAAUGCGAUACUUGGUGUGAAUUGCAGAAUCCCGUGAACCAUCGAGUCUUUGAACGCAAGUUGCGCCCAAAGCCUUUUGGCCUAGGGCACGUCUGCUUGGGCGUCACGCAUCGCGUCGCCCCUCUCCCGUCCCUUUGGGGGAUGGUUAGGUGGGGGCGGAUAAUGGCCUCCCGUGCAUUAUGAUGUGCGGCCGGCCCAAAUGAGAUCCCGCGGCGACUCAUGUCACGACAAGUGGUGGUUGAACUCAACUCUCGUGUUGUCGUGUCGUUUUGGCGUUGUGUGGCGGGUAAUGUCGCAUAUUACCCCAUAGUGCGAUCUAUUUGUGCUUUCGACGGUGACCCCA